rnacentral:lncRNA from 1 species
UCUGCUAUUAUUCUGUACAUGCUCAAGGAAAUGAUAGUAUUAGACACAGUUUCAACCAUAAUAUACUUCCAAUAAAAAAAUGGAAUUUACUCCUUAUUUAAUCUCAUUAGUUUUAGAGCAGUAAAACUCAAAAAAAAUUUCCUGUGGAAAGAGUGUUGUACGUUUUUAAUGGUAUGUCAAAUGACAAUUUUUAGAAAUAUUUCAUCCACAUCUAAGAUUAUAAUUUUAAUCUGUGAGCAUAAGUUUGUAAAAUCACCUUAAGUCAAGUAUAUAAAUAUUGCAUAGUAAUGAAAUCAAAGAUCUGACAAUGUCAAUGAUAUAAGUGUGUUACGCUUUUAGGAAAUAUGUAUAUUUAAUUUUAGGAAACUAUUAAAUGCAAUGCCUUUAUCCAACAUUGUGAAUUAGAAAUUAUUUAGAAGAUCUAAAUAUUUUCAUUAUCCAUUCUCCUUUCUUUCUAGCAUGUGCUAUAAUUUGUCCUCAGAUGCUCUGAAAGUUUGAAUUCCUUUUGCUUUUCCAUGAAAUAGAAGAAAAAUCUUCCCUGCAGUUCUUAACACAAGGCUGUCAGAAGUAGGCAUUGAUAUUACUGUAGAAUCUAGCAAAGUUGUAUAUGGAGUUUGGAGUUUGGUUGAUCCAACUGAAUGUGAUUAACGUUUGCCAAGAUAAAUAAGGUAUUUAUGGUAUUGAAAGAUAAUGACAUUGGUUUUUUUGCCAUUGUGUUUCAUUUUUCCCUGCAUAACAAUGUGUGACAUAAAUACCCACAGAAUGACAAAAUCUUUAAUAUUGGUAUAUUCACUGAUUUUGCUGGAAUCUUAUAUUUUGUCAUACAGGAAAUUUUUGGGUUCUUAAUCCUUCCUCAAGUCUAAUUUUAUAGUGGUAAAGGCUUUGCAUUAACAUCCUUUUUAUGUUCCUUUUUUAAACGAGGAAUACCAGAAAAUUGCUAAAUUCAAUAUUUUUUACAUCCUGAAGUAGUAAAGUUAUUUUGUAUAUUGUUAGUACUUCAAGAAAUCUCCCCCUGAGAAGUCGGACAAACCCCUUAUGCAGUAAUCUGUGAAACUGUUCAGUAGAGAAUAUUUUCUGCAAACACUUGGCUUAGAUUUUAGAUCUUAGCAUUCUGUCAGAAUGCUGGUAGCUGUGUGCCGCCAGAGUAUAGCAGGCAAUAAUAUGACUUUGAUUCUAAUACUUUUAGUGUGCAUGCAUGUGUUUCUAAUCACUGUUAUUUUUUUAAGUAUAUGUAAAAUUAGAAAAAAAAAUCCUUUCUUGAAAACUCAUCAGAUGCUUAGUUUGAAGUUUUUCUCCCCAGAUGUUUUUGAGGAGUGUGAAAAUACUGCAUUCUGGAUGCAGAAAAUAUUACAUUUUCACAUGCAUCUUAAAAAUUUCUGGAAGAUAGAGCUCUCACUUCCCAAACAUCUGGAUGUCCUUGAGCUGAAUGUGAGCCGGGCGCUUCCGUUCUGUGGACAUGUCUGAUACAAUUAUCUGUGAGUGAAAACAGGGUAUUAUAACACAUGAGUUUCAGUCUUAAUUGCAGUGUUGUUACUGUGAAUGCUAUAACCAUACAUAAGUAAAAUGUGUGUAAAUGUAAUAUAUUAUUUUAUACUGCUGUAUACAUACAAAAUAAAUAAAACUAGGAUACAUAUCACACCAUCUUUCCAUGCAUGGAUCUUCCACUGACGUCAUGGGAGCUUUGAAUAAAACCAUCAGUGGC